rnacentral:rRNA from 1 species
GAUGAACGCUGGCGGCGUGCCUAAUACAUGCAAGUCGAGCGAACAGACGAGGAGCUUGCUCCUCUGACGUUAGCGGCGGACGGGUGAGUAACACGUGGAUAACCUACCUAUAAGACUGGGAUAACUUCGGGAAACCGGAGCUAAUACCGGAUAAUAUAUUGAACCGCAUGGUUCAAUAGUGAAAGACGGUUUUGCUGUCACUUAUAGAUGGAUCCGCGCCGCAUUAGCUAGUUGGUAAGGUAACGGCUUACCAAGGCGACGAUGCGUAGCCGACCUGAGAGGAUGAUCGGCCACACUGGAACUGAGACACGGUCCAGACUCCUACGGGAGGCAGCAGUAGGGAAUCUUCCGCAAUGGGCGAAAGCCUGACGGAGCAACGCCGCGUGAGUGAUGAAGGGCUUCGGAUCGUAAAACUCUGUUAUUAGGGAAGAACAAAUGUGUAAGUAACUAUGCACGUCUUGACGGUACCUAAGCAGAAAGCCACGGCUAACUACGU